rnacentral:lncRNA from 1 species
UGCAGUCUUGGAGUGGCCCGGCUUCUCUCCUAGACUGUGCAGUGGCUUUGCUGUUCUUCCACCUGCUGUGCCGACUGCCCAGGGUGGAUAAAUGAAUAUGGCUGUCCGCCACCUCAGACUUCCCUCCUCCCCUCUCCAAGGUGGGCUGUUUCAGACCCAGCUCUGGAAGAACUUAGCGCUCUGGAAGAACUCAGCUUUCUGGGAGGAGGAGGCUGUCAGCUAGUAACUCCCCCAGCCCCCACUCUCUUUCUGGCAGCAGUCAAAGCAGGUCCAGGCCACUGCAGCCUGACUUUCUGACUCUGCCAUAGUGAGUGUUUUUGGGAGAAAUAAAUUCCCC